CAGCCGCCGCGGUAAAACCAGCACCUCAAGUGGUCAGGAUGAUUAUUGGGCCUAAAGCAUCCGUAGCCCGUUUUGUAAGUUUUCGGUUAAAUCCAUGCGCUUAACGUAUGGGCUGCCGGGAAUACUGCAUAACUAGGAAGUGGGAGAGGUAGACGGUACUCGGUAGGAAGGGGUAAAAUCCUUUGAUCUAUUGAUGACCACCUGUGGCGAAGGCGGUCUACCAGAACACGUUCGACGGUGAGGGAUGAAAGCUGGGGGAGCAAACCGGAUUAGAUACCCGGGUAGUCCCAGCUGUAAACUAUGCAAACUCAGUGAUGCAUUGGCUUAUGGCCAAUGCAGUGCUGCAGGGAAGCCGUUAAGUUUGCCGCCUGGGAAGUACGUACGCAAGUAUGAAACUUAAAGGAAUUGGCGGGAGAGCA
rnacentral:rRNA from 1 species